rnacentral:lncRNA from 1 species
CUGGAGGCAGUGGGCCACAGUGGACAGAAACCUGAAUUGGCUUCAGAGAAUCUAGCUGUGAAUCCCAAUUCAUGCAAUUAGAAUUCUCAGCAUCCUGCCUGCCAGUGUUUUAACUUCACUGCACAAAGGACCUGUGUUUGAAUCCUGACUGUUAUUUACUUCCUGUGUGGCUUUGAACACAUUGGUACCUGCCUCAAGGGCCACAGAUUUCUCACAGGUGUGUUCUAUAAAAAAAGCAAGAAAUAAGAAAAUGAGAAAAAUCAUGUUUCAAUCUGCACUCAGAAUCCAUCAGUUCUCUCUCUGGAGGAGGAAAGCAUUUUUCAUGGAAUCUGUGGAGUGAAGGAAGAUGGGUGCCUGUUCCCAUGCUUUGGACAUAUUCUCACCAACAUUGCCAAACACCUUCCACGAGGACAGAAUGACAUCAAGGAAGUUUCUGAAGAUCACCUGGCAAGAUAAGAUCCAGGACAUUGAGCACCUUUCUCCAGCUGAACUGCCAAGCAUUCUGACUUUCUGCAGAGAAUGCAGUCAUAUGGGCUGAUCAUGUUCAGAUGCCAAAAGUACGCUUUCCUAAAAGACUAUUUUAUGGAGAUCUUACACAAGGGAGGUGCUCACCCAGAGGUAAGAAGAAGCAAUACAAGAUACUCUCAAGGUCUCUCUGAAGAAUGUCGGGGCAUGGGAGAUACUGGUACAAGACUUCUUAGCAAAGAAGCUGAUCUGCUACAUGAGCAAAGCUGAAUUACAAUAGCUCAAAAGAAACAUGAGAUGCAUAAAUUUAGAUAUCUCCACACCAAAUGUUCAUAUGGACCGUGUGCCCUACUGGUGGUAGAGCCUUCCGAGCUCAUAGUGGCUUAAUCAGUCAUUGUCAGACACACUAUAACUUGACUCUGACAUAGUAAUCUCAUUUUGGUUCUCUUCAGACAAGACAACACCCAACCAACUGCGUGCCUGGCAUUGCAUUAGGUAGUGGGGGGACAGAGAUAGAAUAAUCCUUGUAUUUGAGAGGCUUAUGUUCUACUGGGGAAAAUUAUAUGUAUACACACAAUUAUAUGAAAAUAUAUUCAACUGAUUGUUCUAACAGAAUUGAUGAGCAGGUUGAUUUCAGAAAAGCCUAGAAAGACUUACAUGAACUUAUGUUGAGUGAACCAAGAGAACAUUGCACACAAUAACAAGAUUAUGUGAUAAUCAACUAUGAUGAACAUGACUCUUUUCAACAAUGAGGUAAUUCAAGGCAAUUCCAAUAGACUUAGGAUGAAAAAUGCCAUCUGCAUCCAGAGAAAGAAUUAUGGAGACUGAAUGUAGAUCAAAGUAUAGUAUUUUCACCUUUUGUUGUUGUUAUUAUUAUUUGUUUGUUUUUUUCUUUCUCAUGGUUCUUUGCCUUUUGAUCUGAUUUUUCUUGUAUAGCAUGAUAAAUAUGGAAAUAUGUUUAGAAGGACUGCACAUGUUUAACCUAUAAAGGAUUGCUUGCUGUUGUGGAGAGGGAUGGG